CUAAGUGAUUGGUCUAAUGGGUCUAAGAUAGUGUCCCAAUUCUUUGAGCCUAAGAGUUCUUCCCAUGAUGUGGUUGUUGUAGCCAUUAGAGAGAAA